CCGAAUGUACAUGGCGGGGAAGCUGAACAUAUUUCAUCGCUUCGACAAACAGGUUCAAGGUGACCCUUGGAAGAUGCGCAUGAUGCAACUUCCUGGAUGGUGCUGAGCCUGUUUGUCAACAUGUGGAACCCACGUGUAUUUAGGGGAGUUGUCUCCCUUGUUAAAGAUCAACAAUGGCGGAUAAACAAUGCGGGAUGCUGUCUUGUCACCAACGGUGAAAUUUGACACCUGUAUACCCGUAUUUCAAUCAACAGUCUCAGUCCUCGUUGUUGUGUACAUCAGACAGAUGAUGGACCACUCUACUUCCUUUUACAACAGGUGCCCCUACAGAUUCACAAAGUUCCAAUGUUGAAUUUCCAUGACCCUGAUU